ensembl:lncRNA
CCCCCCCACUUGCCACGCCUCCUUUUUCAUUUCUCUUUUUUCUCCAGCCCUUGCACCCACCCUGCCACUCUGAAAGGACCAGGUGGCAUCCCAGCCCCACUCUCCCCUCAGCUGCAAGUGUGGAAAACAAAAGAGAGACGCAACGCCAAGGCUGCCACGGAAAAAAAACCACAAAAACAAAAAAAAGCGCCCCGAAAAAACAAAAGCGCGGAUAUAACCUCCCCGGUUUUUUGUAAAUCGCAAAUCCUGCGGGAAGUCCGACUUUGGUUUUUGUUCCUGUAUCCGUGGUGGCGACGUUGUUAUUGUUGUUGUUUGUGGUUUCCCAUGUUUUUUUUGUUCCGUCCUCGGAAUAGGCUGUUGUUGUUUUGUUGUUGUUGUUGUUGGUGUGGAAGUUGUGUGAGCAGAAGAAGACAGAAAUGUACUAAUCCAAACCCCGGACGCUGGAACUUUUUUUCCUCUUUGCUGUUUUUGGAUUGCGUUGAAGUUCGGGACCCUGGUACGUCUCGCGUGCUUUACACACAUACACACAAACACACACACACACACACACACACACACACACACACACACACACACACACACACACAAACUCUUCAUAAACACAUGGCAACACACACACACACACACACACAGAGGUAGAGGCUCCGGAGUGUUCCAUCCAGAGCUCUGCUCACCACAGCCUUCGCCUACUGCCUGCAAAGAUCUGGGACUAGCACGGGCUGUACCACACACACACACAGACCCACACACACACACACACACACACACUCACACACACACACUCACACACAAGCUGGAUCUAAUACGCCCCUCGCGCCCGCCGGUCGUUUGAGGCAGAGGGAAAGUGAAUAAUCAAUUAAGUAUUGAUUUUCUCGUAAGAUUUUGUAAAUUUCAACGCCAAAGACAAAGGAGGGUCGCUUGAGAAGAGCCGCCGCCGCCGCCGCCGCCGCCGCCGCCACAAGAGAACGGGGGAGAGAGAGCAAGAGUGAGAGACGCCGCCGAUUAGCCAAUAAACAUGAGCGGGAGAAUAAACGAAGGCAGAACGAAGGAGAAACGAAGCAACCCGCUUUCCCUCGCCGCCGCAAGCUCGCUCGCUCUCUCUGGUGCUCUCUCUCUCUCUCUGUUUUGUUUUAUCCUCAUUGUGGACGAAAUAAUGCGGGAUUGUUGUGGCUAAAGACAAUGGUUUCCCAUGGAGCGAGCGAGGAUGGCUAACAGGCAGUCUGCAACGCGGACCUCAUCAGUAUGCGGACUAUGCAAAUUCAGCGGCUGGCAUUUUUUUCAUUAUUUUUUCAUGGAUCAGAAGGCAAGCGCUGCACAGAAGAAUUAAGGGCUAUUAUCCUGCACAUGGAAGGAUGUGUGUGUGUGUGUGUGUGUGUGUGUG